UACGGAGGGUGCAAGCGUUAAUCGGAAUUACUGGGCGUAAAGGGUGCGUAGGCGGUUGCUUAAGUCUGUUGUGAAAUCCCCGGGCUCAACCUGGGAAUGGCAAUGGAUACUGGGCAGCUAGAGUGUGUCAGAGGAUGGUGGAAUUCCCGGUGUAGCGGUGAAAUGCGUAGAGAUCGGGAGGAACAUCAGUGGCGAAGGCGGCCAUCUGGGACAACACUGACGCUGAAGCACGAAAGC
rnacentral:rRNA from 1 species